CUACUUUAAAUAAAUAACCUUCUUUACUGCUUAAUGAAGAAUAAUGAACUAUGCACGUCAUUAUGGGAUGAAGAACAGGGAGUAAAGACAGAAUUUCUCACUGUAGCAAGAUGGCAGACUAAGAAAUAUUUAACACUAUCACUGUUCCCUGAAGCCUCCUCAGAAGCCGAGCAAAUGCCAGUGCCACGCUUGUACAGCCUGCAGAACUGUCAGCUAAUUCAACCUCUUUCUUUUUUAACUACCCAGUCUCAGGUAUUCGUUUAUAGCCACGCAAAAAUGGCCUAAAACAUCCUUUUCCCUCCUACUGAAUCUGGAUAAACCUAUGACUGUUUUGACCAACAGAAUACAGAGCAGUGUGUAUUUCUCUCAUUCAGCCAUGUAUUCACUUAAUGACUACAUAAUGAAUGCCUUCUGUGCCAAGGAAUAUAACUACUCAUUUAUUAACACCAAGUCCUGAAGAUAUGGCAUUCUUUUACUCAAUUUUCAUGAUCAUCACAUACCUUAGUGAAAAAUUAAAAUCAUGAUGUUUCAGUUAAGGAAUCUAAGAUGCUGUGCUUAACAAAAUUGCUGAAGUUACCACAAAUGUAAGUAAAAGACCAGGAUUAAACAAUCCAGAAAAACAGGCUUUCCAGACUGCAGAAAAACUUCUUCUGAAGACUUAAUGAGACACACAUAGUCACUGCCUGAGCUUUCUGCCCCUGAAUAAAGAUAUCUUCUUAUAGGGUCUGAAUUAGACUUCACAAUGGAAUUCAUCAGCAAAUAUUGGUGUCUACAUCUUUAAAAUGUGUCUGGAUUCUAAUCCUCACGAUUUCAACCACAACCUCCAUUGCCAGAGCCACCAUCAUCUCUCACCUCAAUUAUAGCAACAGCUUCUAACUGCUCUGUCAGUUUCUGCUUCUUCCCAAACAUUCCAUUCUCAAAACAGCAACCAAAGUGUUGCAUUAAAAAUAUCAUUGGAUCAGCAGGGCACAGUGACUCACGCCUGUAAUCCCAGCA